AUGCGAUACGUAGUGUGAAUUGCAUAAUUCCGUGAAUCAUCGAAUCUUUGAACGCACCUUGCACUCUAUUUCGGUAGAGUAUGCCUGUUUGAGAAUCUAUUUAUUAUUCAACGUUUUGUUGAGAAUUGAGCGUUUGUUUUUGGAUUUAGUUCCAGAAACUCGUUUGAAAUAGAUUGCUUCAAACGACUUUUAAUGUUGAUUUUUGAUGGCAGAGAGAUGAAGGGCUUGCCCACUUCCUUUGUUUAUAUCAGAAUGAGUUGAAAGUUGAGUUGAACUCACCUAUUAAAAGGGAGUCUUUCGGGACUUUCUUUGAAACUUAGGUCUCAAAUCAGGUAGGAAGACCCGCUGAACUUAA
rnacentral:misc_RNA from 1 species